GGUACGCCCUUCGGAGAGUCCUGCGCUGCUCACUCACAACUGCUGCAAUAAUCCAUUAAGUAAAAAUCAUUUACAUGCACAAAAACUGCUCAGCUGCUGAAUCAUGAAAUAAAUGUUUUUAGAGAAGACUCUGUCAUAUUUGAAAAACAUAAAACUGAGGAGGAUUAUAGCCAAGCUUCACAGAAACUGACUUCUGAAAACAUCUCAUCCAGCAUACUCUAAAUGUUUAAAUCAACUUUCCUGCCAUUUAAAAAAAUAUGCUAAUCUUAAGUAUUAAUGGAACAUCUUCAAAUGAUCUGGACUGAAGCACGUUGCUAGGCUGCCAACAACUGCCAGGCAACAAAUAACAGCACACAGAUUGAAGCCACGCUUACAAUGCAAUAUAUUGAGCAUGUUUUAUUGUUAAGAAAUCAAUAACCUGCAUUGCCAUAAUAAAAUGUAAAAUGUGAUUAUGUUUUUCCCAGGGGGUAGAAAAAAUAAGAAUAAAAAAACCUGUAAAUCAUUCUUAUUGCCUUUCCAAAGCAAAAUUUAU